UAGCAGAGGUUUGCUGUGAUUUCAGGAGCCUGGAUGCUCUCAGCAAGAAAGAAAAGGCUCCUGAAGCCAACCUGCCCAUAUAGUUGGUGAGCCUGAGUCUGCAGGAUAUCAGCUGUUACUUCCACCUCCUGAUGAGCACUUGUAGCAUGAGGACAAACUGAACAGGUUGCAUGCCCUGAAGAAUUGGCAUGGGCAGAGUGUUUUCCCAGCUGAUUGAAGAAAUCCUCAGCUCUUGAAAACUCAUUUCUUGAUGGUGAUGGAAAAACUCAAGAGAAAGGUUGUCAUGGUGGUGAAUGAGGAAGCUUACCUGAAAGCUGAGGCCAGAGGGGACCUUAUCGGAAGCCGAGCUCCUUGUUCAGGCUUCUUGUUCACAGUAGAGAUUGGGAUCAACACGUCUGGUUUGAGCUUUAGUCAUUUAAACUUGGUUCCAGAUCCUCCAUAGUGAUGAUGAACAGCAUGCUCAGGAACCCAGAUAGGAUGAGGUGAGCCUUCUAGAAAGACACAAGCAUAGCUUUUACCCCAUAUUAUUGCUGAUGUGGUCCAUUACAUUGUCCUGUUUGUAACUCUACCAAAUUGGGAGGAUUAUAAGGAAUAUCUGGUGAUCAAUAUGAUAUUGAUCACAAAACUGUCAGAAAGAAGUGAUAAUGUCCAGGAUAGCUGGACAUUAUCAGUUUUAAUUUGUAGAAUGUGGC
rnacentral:lncRNA from 1 species